CAACAAACCAGUUUUCUUUUGGCUAAAAUGAAACAUUCUGGAGGGAGAGAGUUUCUUCAGAUGAGAUGCCUGAACUCCUGAAAUCCUCCUGUACCAGAUGCACACUUUAAUAGAUAGGGUGGAGCUUCAGCGGUUCACAACAUAGUGUGUGGAGGGUUAAAAGACUGAACCAUGAAGUUGAUAGUGGAUGUAGUGUGGAUGAUAUGGGGCAUCGGUGCAUCUGUGUACGAUUACUUCCACACCAGCGCCAUGGAGGAGAGGAUCCACACUCUGGAGAACGUCCUCACCAUCCACCAGUUUCUCAUCGUGUUCCUCUCAGCAAGCCUCGUCCUGCUUAUCUCCUACAUCGUCUUUAAGAAGAAAUGACAUGCCGGAAACCUCGAAAACCUGGGAGCCUCGAGGAACCAUGAGACAACCACUCUGCUCCUCAGUGAAUGAGGAUGAUUGUAUAGAUAGAUGAACGGUUGUGUCAGAUUGUCUGACCAUAUCAAAUGUAGCUAUGAAACAUUGACAAGGUUUACAAUAUUUUGUAUUUAAAGAAAUACACCAUUUCUAACAUGUUGUUCUACAGAGACAGUUUUGUCUACCAUGUUUCUCUUGUCAUGACCUGUGGAAUUAUGGGAUUACAACAUAACUGUGCACUCAAUAUCACACCAUACAACAGAUUACCAGAACUCUCAAAAACUAUUUUUUCUUCCUCAAACCAAGUUCAAGUACGUUUUUUUUAGUACUCAUCAAUACAGAUACAGUAAUGAUUAACCUACUUAGAAUAUUAAUCAUGCUAAGUAGAUUAGCAUGCCACAAAUAACAUGUUAUGGCGCUUAAAUGGUCUCAUUAAUAGAUGGUGUGAAGGUGGCCAUCUUGAGGAAGCUGACGUUGCUCAAUGCUUGUCAUGUGCAACAGUUUCUCUUUACAGCUCCACUGUUAUUUUUAAUGACCACACUGGCUGAAACUGCUCUGUACGCUCAGCUCAACACUCUAUAUUAAUAAAGAUACUGUUUAAAUGCCGUGAGAUGACUGAUCAGGUGCUUGUAUUGUAAGAAGUUGCUGUAGUAGCAUGUUUGCCUUGCACUCCAGGGUUGGGGGUUUAAAUCCUGUCUCCACCCUGUGUGCACAGAGCUUGUAUGUUCUCCCAGUACUUUGGGAGUUUCUUCUGAGUACUCAGACCAAAGACUGAUUGGCAUUUCCAAAUUGCCUGUAAUGUGUGUGAGAUUUUGCCCUGCGAUGGCUUGGCACUCUGUACAGGGUGUCCCCCAACUUGUGCCCCGAGCUCCCUGAGAUAGGCUCCAGGCCCCCCUGUGUAGGAUAGGCAGUACAGAAAAUGAUGGAUGGAAAUACCUCCAGAUUGCUGGCAUUUUGUGUUCCCGAGCGCAGCAACAUGCACUAGGUUUAUGUCACACAUAGUAUCAGAUGUUUGAUAUCGGAGAUUUUUUUUUUUACAAGUAAAUCAGCAUGGUACCGGUAUUGGUAUUUAUGCAUCACUAAUUAUAUGUGAUUUGUCCAUUAAAUAUUAUUAUGCAACUCAUAUAUUAAUUCAUUCGAGUAGAUAGAUGAAUUCAAACUUGAUCAACUGCAUUACACAAGUAUUAAUCACAUCCUAACACAGCUAAACAAAUCAGAGAGCUUUUACUCAGUCUUUUUUUCCUUUUAUUUAGAAUAACCCACUCUAUGAUGUGUGUAUUUAAUGCCUACGAUUAGAAUAUUUUCCAAGUGUUCCCUACAUUUGCGUAAUGGUAAUGAAAACCAUUCUCAGACCUUCUGCUCACCUGAAAAGAGAAACACAAGAUAAAUACGAACACAAAGUUAGAAUAUUUACGCUUCAAUACAGCAGAACAAUAGCGAUACAUCAGUGAUUAUUUGAGAAGUCAGAGUUUGGCAUUCGAAUGUCUGUCAUAUAAACAGGAAGUGUGUUUGCAUGUGAGCUGUGAAACAGGAACACACGG
ensembl:lncRNA